rnacentral:rRNA from 1 species
GAUGAACGCUGGCGGCGUGCCUAAUACAUGCAAGUCGAGCGAACAGAUGAGGAGCUUGCUCCUCUGACGUUAGCGGCGGACGGGUGAGUAACACGUGGAUAACCUACCUAUAAGACUGGGAUAACUUCGGGAAACCGGAGCUAAUACCGGAUAAUAUAUUGAACCGCAUGGUUCAAUAGUGAAAGACGGUUUUGCUGUCACUUAUAGAUGGAUCCGCGCCGCAUUAGCUAGUUGGUAAGGUAACGGCUUACCAAGGCAACGAUGCGUAGCCGACCUGAGAGGGUGAUCGGCCACACUGGAACUGAGACACGGUCCAGACUCCUACGGGAGGCAGCAGUAGGGAAUCUUCCGCAAUGGGCGAAAGCCUGACGGAGCAACGCCGCGUGAGUGAUGAAGGUCUUCGGAUCGUAAAACUCUGUUAUUAGGGAAGAACAAAUGUGUAAGUAGCUAUGCACGUCUUGACGGUACCUAAUCAGAAAGCCACGGCUAACUACGU